rnacentral:rRNA from 1 species
UACGUAGGAGGCAAGCGUUGUCCGGAGUUACUGGGCGUAAAGCGCACGCAGGCGGUCGCAUCAGUCUGGGGUGACAGUUUCCGGCUUAACCGGAAAAGGACUCUGGAAACUGUGCGACUUGAGGGCUUCAGAGGGAUGUGGAAUUCCAGGUGGAGUGGUGAAAUGCGUAGAGAUCUGGAGGAACACCAGAGGCGAAAGCGGCAUCCUGGCUCAUAGUUGACGCUCAGACACGAGAGCAUGGGGAGCGAACGGG